ensembl:lncRNA
GUCAUAUGACCAGCAUUGUUCUCCUCACGCGAUAAAGGUUUGUUGAUGACGACAUUUAGUCAUAAUUUUCGGUGUCAAAAGCAACACUAUUUGCAACUACUGGUGGUGGUGGUGGUGGUUAUCAGGUACUAAACUCAUAAAGCAAAAUUUGGCUAUAUAACUCAAGGUUAACCUGCAGCAACCCCGGCAAGUUUGACCACGUCGGUGGAUCAUCUAGAAAACACUCUUGAGUUCGGUGUCACGUUGGUGGCAUAUCAUGGAAAAAAUAAAACUCAAGGUUAACCUGCAGCAACCCCGGCAAGUUUGACCACGUCGGUGGAUCAUCUAGAAAACACUCUUGAGUUCGGUGUCACGUUGGUGGCAUAUCAUGGAAAAAUAAAACUCAAGGUUCGCAGCGGCGACCCCGGUGAGUGCGUUGGCCAAAGCGCAGCGGUAACAACUCGGGCACUCGUAACUAUGACCACGUCGGUGGCACGUUAUCUAUUACUCAUGGUUGACUGCAGUAACCCCCGGUGAGUGCGUUGACCAUGUCAACGCACAAUUGGGGCACAACUCAGGCACUCGUGAGUUUGUUGCACACGUCGGUGCGGUACAACACAGUACUCAACGUCCUACAUCCGGUCGAGUUCAAGGUUCUUUCUUCAAGCGCACACGAUGCUCUCUAACGUCGGUUAAGACAGGUUUUACACGUUUGCAACCAUAGCUGUUUUUGGCGGCCUGUUCCUUUCUAGUGUUAGUCUAGUCUUGUGUCAAGCUGUCAUUUUAGUUUUUAUUAGUUUUAGUUACAUUCAUACUCUUUCCAGUGUUAUCGUAAUUCCAUUUAGAUAUUAUCGAAGUUACAAGUGCGUAGUUUUGUUAAAUAAGGUAAACGGUUGAAAAUUGAUGUUAUGUCUGGAACAGUUGAAGUUCCAGUUGAACAAAAUAACGUUAUAAGUCUUUAUCACCUAGUUUAGGUCAACGAAAAUGAAGACAUUUUAGCAGUCUUAUUUUCGUAAAACACUUUUUAGUCUUGUUUUAUUCGCCAACUAUAUUGUACUAUGCUUUUAAUCACAGCUAUUGUCACACGCCCAGCAUCCACGUUGCGUCCAGUCUCGUUUUUCUAACGCGAUAAAGGCUUGUUGAUGACGACUUAGUCAUAAUUUUCAUUGCCAAAAGCAACACUAUUCUGGCGGCCUGUUUCCAUUCCAGGGUUAUUCUAGUCUUAGUGUCUAGCUGUUUUAGUCUAUUCGUUUUAGUUACGUCUAUAUUCUUUCUAGUGUUAUCGAAAUAUAUUGCACUAUGUAUUUAACUACAGUUAUUGUCACACGCCCAACAUGCACGUUGCGUCCUGUUUGUUGUUUGUUUGUUUGUUUGUUUUUCUUUCUCACGCGAUAAAGGUUCGUGAUGACGAUAUUUUGUCAUUAUUUUCGUUGCUAAAAGCGACAUUAUUUGCAACUACUGGUGGUGGUGGUUAUCAGGUACUAAAUUCAUAAAGCAAAAUUCGGUUUCAUAACUCAGGUUAACCUGCAGCAACCCCGGCGAGUGUGUGACCACGUCGGUG